UUAGUUACCCUGUUCACGGAAAUUGAAAGCAUUGUGAAUUCUCGUCCAAUAACUAAGGUAAGUGAUGAUGUCACGGAUCUUAAAGCUCUUACUCCCAACCAAAUCUUGCUUCUUAAUAGCGGUUCCUGUAAACCUCUUGCAGUCACCUCUGUCAAUGAUUUUUAUCAUCGACGCUGGAAAUAUGUUCAGCAUUUAGCUGAUUUAUUUUGGAAAAAAUGGUUGAAGUUAUAUUUGCCAACUCUUAAGUUAGUUAUAAAUGGCAAACUACUACGCGCGAUUUAAGGAUUGGUGACUUAGUAUUGCUGCUUGAUGAGUCUUUACCCCGAUCACUUUAGCCCAUGGCAUUAGUAAAAGAGAUCAAGGUAGGUAGGGACGGCAGGGUAAGGUCAUCAACGGUUAAAACCAGGUCUUCUGAAUUUAUUCGACCUAUUAAUAAACUUGUUCUUUUAGAAGGAGCUGAUUGAUGAACAAAAUUAUUUACUAGAACUUUUUGUUUAUGUUGUUUUUAUGCUGGGUUGUUAAUUCGUCAUUUAGUCUUUUUCAGACGUUUGAAUUUGGAGUUCUAGCUUAGUUGAAUAUUCCAAAAUAAUGUAUUUUAUGUAGAUUAAUAUCGGUAUGUACAAUUGGUUAUUCCUUAUGUCGUACAUUCUGAGCUAGUUGGCUCAGGGUGGGGUAGUGUUUUUCCCGUUCGUUGUAUAUAUUGUUUUAUGCUAAUACGCAGUAUUUAAUAUACAUUUAUUAUUAUGUUUAUAGGUUUAUUCGUUUUCAUGUAUUUCUAUAUUUAAGUGUCUGUUUAAUAGAGUCUACUUAACAACGAAUGUGUAUAUCACGUGAGACGCGUUACUACUGGAACGUGAGUGUUUUUCACACACACGCACACACAUGAGCGUUAACACUUGAGCUAUUGAUACCAAGUUUUUAACUUGGACCCUCUGUUUACGUUUUAUAUAGUCAAGUUUUCAACUUGACGUUCUCCAGUUUUUAUCGAUCCGUUUUUAACGAUCGAUUAGUUAUCGCUCGAUUUUCAACUUUCUUGGGAGCGUCUUAUUUUAUGGUGCCAAAGCUUUGAACGAGAGAAUUUGAGAGAACGAGAAUUUGUUUUCUAAAUAAAACUGUAUCAAGCUACAA